rnacentral:tRNA from 1 species
GGGGAUGUGGUCUAGCUUGGUAUGAUACACGAUUGGGGUUCGUGUGGUCGGGGGUUCGAAUCCUCCCAUCCCCG